AACGCACCUUGCACCCUCUGGUAUUCCGGAGGGUAUGCCUGUCUGAGUGUUGUAAUAACUCAAACCGAGGGUAAUGCCUCGGCUUGGAUUGGGCGUUGCCUCUUGGCUCGCCUCAAAUACAAAGUCGUGAUGAAUAAGUGUCUUCACGACCCAGUCUAUAAACCACCUCAGAUCAGGUAGGACUACCCGCUGAACUUAA
rnacentral:misc_RNA from 1 species